rnacentral:lncRNA from 1 species
ACUUGGGGCCCGUUUCCACCUAGGACUACAGGCUCAAGAUGGCCUGGUAGAUGCAGCCGGCACGCACCUCUCCUCUGACGGGAACCGAAGGAGCCGGUAGGUUUUCACACUUGCAGCAGAUCCGCUAAGAGAACGCGGGAUUCAGCCGAGAAGCCACGGGGAGCCCGAGGAGCGGAGCAGAGGCACCCAGGCAGCCUGCGCGGAGAAAUUGGAUCGGCGGGGACGGCCUGCAGCUCCCGCGCGCGGGGAAAGGAAGGCAGAGCCAGGUGUACAGGAUGGAACAUGAAGGCGGACUACGAGCGUGACCACUGAAGCACAGCAUCACAGGGAGAUGGAAGAAGUCCUCCCCUACAAAGCAAAUUCACAAACUUGGAAGAAGCAAUUUACACAGGAUGUGCAGAUCUCAAUGGAAGGACACGGGAAACGUGAAAAAGCAAGGAAGUGGGACGCCUCCAAAGGAACCCAGUAAUUCUCCAGCAACAGAUCCCCAUCCAAAAGAAAUUCAAGAAAUGUCAUAUAGAGAAUUGUGGAAACUGAUUUUAACCAAGAUUAGAGGGAUUCAAGAGACUUCUGAAAAAGAAAGUAAGGAAAUGUCAACAGCAAUUCUGGAUAUGGUUGAGGUAUUUACCAACCAGAUACAGAGUUUUCCAGAGCACAUGGCAAAUGUGGAACUGAAGAAAUCACUGGAUGAAAUACAAAGUAUACUCGAAAGCUUCAAUGAUAGACUAGAUCAAGCAGAAAAAAAACUCUCAAAACUUAAAAUCUGAAGGCUUUUACUCAAUUCAAAUAUUUAAUGGGUUGUACUCUGGCCAUUCAGGUGAACAAAAUCUGCUGGGUUAAUUUUUUUUUUUUUUUUUUUUUUGAGAUGGAGUCUCGCUCUGUCGCCCAGGCUGGAGUGCAGUGGCGGGACCUCGGCUCACUGCAAGCUCCGCCUCCCAGGUUCACGCCAUUCUCCUGCCUCAGCCUCCUGAGUAGCUGGGACUACAGGUGCCCGCCACCACACCCGGCUUAUUUUUUGUAUUUUUAGUAGAGGUGGGGUUUCACUGUUAGCCAGGAUGGUCUCGAUCUCUUAACCUCGUAAUCCACCCGCCUCGGCCUCCCAAAGUGCUGGGAUUACAGGCGUGAGCCACUGCGCCUGGCCUUGGGUUGUUAUACUGGGGUCUUGAAUAAUCAUUAAAGGUGAAAUGAAAAUAA